GUGCAUUAUGUGCCACACUGUUUAUUGUGUCAGAGGCAGCAUAAACAAGUCAGUGAGGACUUACCUCUGAAGUCAUUUGUCAUUUAUAGAAGAAACCUGGAAGACACUGCCCAGCUCUUUUCGUCUGGUUCCACACACUUCAGGAUACAUUAUUUUCCCUGAAAGAGCUAAUCAUUUGGAUCUUCUCGGCAGUAAACUCGGCACGCUAUGCCUGGGGAGGUCUUCCAGUAAAACACCAAUCAAACCACACUAUACAUUCGUCCUAACAGAAUCACCACCUGUUCAAAUACUCAGUUUGACAAGCCGGUCUACAAAAGGGGAAUUGUCCUCUAUCAUAUAUUUGCAAUGUCAUGUGAUUUAUUUCCAAACACCUUUGCCAACGCUUAUUAUACAAAAUGACCUAUGUGAAGUAUAACCAUAUGUGCUAUGCUAAGACAGUUCCCAUCUCAUGUACUGUAUUGCUGGAUUGUCAGCAUUAGAAAAUGCAUGAAUAUUAAUUUGGAUACUUGAAUUUUAAUUCUGUUAUUUUAGUGGUUGCUUACUGUGUAAGGGGACAGAACUCUGAGAUGCUUGAAGUGUUUCUGGUGGAGUAUUGCUGAGGUGAAUGUUAAAAUGGAGCCAAUUGCGUUUGCUUCGUUAUGUGCACCUCUUAAUGUCCACCCAAUAAUAUGGUUUCAGAGAGGAACAUGAAACAGGAACUUUGGUUUGAACUUCCGCUCCCUUAACACGAGUUUGUCUUUUUAUAAAAACAAGAUGUGAAACUGGCUGACAGGGUAUUUCUUUUGCAGAACAGACUGACACAAGAUAUGAAACAUACAGAUCACAUCAGCUAAUGAAAAGGUUCAAAAUACGAAGAAGGCCUCAUGUCCAUUUACUCAUUAUAAAACAGAGCAUACAAGGCCAAACAUGACAAAGAAAAAAGCAAACUUCUAAACUAGGUAGUUUGCAGAAACAUGGAAAUGAAUUUAGCUUUGGGGCAGAGUCUAGUGUGUACAAAAGUGAGUAAAGUAGAAAGGGAAGAGGGAAAUAGCAAUCCACUGACGUCAAAGCCCCUGAGUGGAAGUGCUCUCCUUUUAUAGCCAUGUUCUUUCUCUGUUGCAUUCCAUACAAGAGCAGCCUUGAGAAGGCUGUGACGCACACAGAGGAAGAGAAAAGUUGGCACAAGUCGGCCACGCCAAGGGGAGAGAGUGAGAAGAAUUCCCCUUCCUAAAGUUUUUACUUUCACUUGAAGGUUCAAUUAAGUCAGGGGGAAUUAUUUUCAAGGAAAUCUAUGGAAGAAAAAAAAAAUUUGAAGGGACUUAGGUCACAGUAAUUAUUGGUAUGAAGAUUUGAUUAGGCACAGAAAGUUGUGAUCUAUAAGACACCUACCGGUAAUUUAACAACAUUACCGGGAUCUUAUAUAAUUUAGGAUGACCUUGAUCAUUUACACAUAAAAUUAAAAAAAAUCUAAUAAUUACUGUUCUUUCCAGUGUUAACUUUAUUGUAUGUUAAUA